rnacentral:rRNA from 1 species
GUCCUUUAGACUAGUAUUUAAGGUUUAACCUGCCCAAUGAUAUAUUUAAUGGCCGCAGUAAUUUGACUGUGCAAAGGUAGCAUAAUCAUUAGUUUUUUAAUUGAAAGCUUGUAUGAAUGGUUGGACGAGAUAAAAACUGUCUCUAUUUAAUAUAUAAAAUUUAAUUUUUAAGUUAAAAAGCUUAGAUUUUUAUAAAAGACGAGAAGACCCUAUAGAUCUUUAUAUAAUUUUUUUUAGUUUAAUUAAUGAUUUUUUAUUGGAUUAAUAGAAUUUAUAUUUUAUUGGGGUAAUAAAAAGAUUUAACUAAUUCUUUUUUUAUUUAACAUAAAUUAAUGAAUUAAUGAUCCAUUAUUAUUGAUUAUAAGAUUAAGUUACCUUAGGGAUAACAGCGUAAUUUUUUUGGAGAGUUCUUAUCGAUAAAAAAGUUUGCGACCUCGAUGUUGGAUUAAAAAUUAUUUUAGGCGUAGAAGUUUAGAAUUUUGGUCUGUUCGACCAUUGAAUUUUUACAUGAUCUGAGUUCAGACCGGUGUAAGCCAGGUCGGUUUCUAUCUUUAUUAGAGUAAGAUAUUUUAGUACGAAAGGACCAAAUAUUAAUUAUAUCAAUAAUUAUUAGUUGAAAAA